rnacentral:rRNA from 1 species
UACGGGGGGAGCAAGCGUUGUUCGGAUUUACUGGGCGUAAAGGGCGCGUAGGCGGUCAGCACAAGUCAGUUGUGAAAUCUCCGGGCUUAACUCGGAAAGGUCAACUGAUACUGUGCGACUAGAGUGCAGAAGGGGCAACUGGAAUUCUUGGUGUAGCGGUGAAAUGCGUAGAUAUCAAGAGGAACACCUGCGGCGAAGGCGGGUUGCUGGGCCGACACUGACGCUGAGGCGCGAAAGCCAGGGGGAGCGAACGGG